GGUGGGGCAGCAGAGACACCAGUAGGAGGCCUCAGGUGCUUAUAUACUAAUGCUAGGUGCAUGGGGAACAAGCAGGAGGAGCUAGCCCUCCUACUCUCCAGUGGGGAUUAUGAUCUAGUAGGGAUUACGGAGACCUGGUGGGACUUCUUACAUGACUGGAGAGUAAUUAUAAAGGGCUACACCCUGCAUAGAAGGGAC